rnacentral:rRNA from 1 species
AGUGAACGCUGGCGGCGUGCCUAAUACAUGCAAGUCGAACGGAGUGGCGCACGGGUGAGUAACGUAUAGCUAAUCUCCCCUAUACUAGAGGACUACCGUUGGAAACGACUGCUCAUACUCUAUAGUGUAGGAUGAGGCUAUAUUGUAUCAGCUAGUUGGUGAGGUAAUGGCUCACCAAGGCUAUGACGGAUAACUGGUCUGAGAGGUUGAUCAGUCAGACUGGAACUGAGACACGGGCCAGACUCCUACAGGAGGCCGCAGUAGGGAAUAUUGCUCAAUGGGGGAAACGCUGAAGCGGCAACGCCGCGGGGAGGAUGCCACGUUUCGGAGCGUAAACUGCUUUUGUUAGGGAAGCGGUAACUAACGAAUAAGCACCGGCUAACUCCGUGCCAGCAGCCGCGGUAAUUC